UGAAGGGUUUGAUCCUGGCUCAGAACGAACGUUGGCGGCGUGGAUUAGGCAUGCAAGUCGAACGAAGACAGUCUUGUAGCAAUACCGGACUGGACUGAGUGGCGAAAGGGGCAGUAAUGCGUGGGUAACCUACCUUGGGGAUGGGCAUAGCUGGUCUAACGGCCAGGUAAUUCCCAGCGAUUUGGCGAGACGGCAUCGUUUUGCCAGGAAAUGAGUUUCGCCUCGAGAGGGGCUCACGUCGUAUUAGCUAGUUGGUAAGGUAACGGCUUACCAAGGCAAAGAUGCGUAGCGGGUGUGAGAGCACGACCCGCGCCACUGGCACUGAGACACUGGCCAGACACCUACGGGUGGCUGCAGUCGAGGAUCUUUGGCAAUGGACGCAAGUCUGACCAAGCGACGCCGCGUGUGCGAUGAAGGCCUUCGGGUUGUAAAGCACUGUCGAGGGGGAUCAAAGCGCAAGCUUGAGAGAUCCCUGGAGGAAGCACGGGCUAAGUUCGUGCCAGCAGCCGCGGUAAGACGAACCGUGCGAACGUUGUUCGGAAUCACUGGGCUUAAAGGGCGCGUAGGCGGGCGAUCAAGUCGGUGGUGAAAUCCUACAGCUUAACUGUAGAACUGCCUCCGAUACUGGUUGUCUCGAGGAAGGUAGGGGCGUACGGAACAGUUGGUGGAGCGGUGAAAUGCGUUGAUAUCAACUGGAAC
rnacentral:rRNA from 1 species